AAAUUUUCCCACACAGCGCCACAUCUUAGACAGUGUACCGAGUCCACGGCAGUGACAGGAUCAAAGAAAACUACGUCACUCAC